AUUUCGGUAUGGGAUGGGGAUGCGUUCCAUUAGUUAGUUGGCGGGGUAACGGCCCACCAAGACAACGAUGGAUAGGGGUUCUGAGAGGAAGGUCCCCCACAUUGGAACUGAGACACGGUCCAAACUCCUACGGGAGGCAGCAGUGAGGAAUAUUGGUCAAUGGACGAGAGUCUGAACCAGCCAAGUAGCGUGAAGGAUGACUGCCCUAUGGGUUGUAAACUUCUUUUAUAUGGGAAUAAAAUGUUCCACGUGUGGGAUUUUGUAUGUACCAUAUGAAUAAGGAUCGGCUAACUCCGUGCCAGCAGCCGCGGUAAUACGGAGGAUCCGAGCGUUAUCCGGAUUUAUUGGGUUUAAAGGGAGCGUAGGUGGAUUGUUAAGUCAGUUGUGAAAGUUUGCGGCUCAACCGUAAAAUUGCAGUUGAAACUGGCAGUCUUGAGUACAGUAGAGGUGGGCGGAAUUCGUGGUGUAGCGGUGAAAUGCUUAGAUAUCACGAAGAACUCCGAUUGCGAAGGCAGCUCACUGGACUGCAACUGACACUGAGGCUCGAAAGUGUGGGUAUCAAACAGGAUUAGAUACCCUGGUAGUCCACACAGUAAACGAUGAAUACUCGCUGUUUGCGAUAUACUGCAA
rnacentral:rRNA from 1 species